rnacentral:lncRNA from 1 species
CUUUUAUCGAAUCGAUCAGGAACAGCAGAUACGAUUUCAUUUGUUCUUCGUACUGCUGUUAUAUUGAAGUGCAUAUUAACUUUGUUAUUUUUUAUCGACUUAUUUAUGAACAUGAAAAUAAAAUCGUUAAAGGAUCAUGUUCGAUAAUAACGAUGAAUUACGAGGAUAUGAUAAUCGAUUUUCUCUCUCUCUCUCUCUCUCUCUCUUCCUCUCUUCCUUUCUCUCUUUUUGUUGUUGUAUAAAACUAGACGCGCGCGCGCGCGCGAAUACGCUCUUACUUAAACGCGUUUAUCGCUCAUAAAAAUGCAAAUUAUUAUGUCGCACCGAAAAUUAUAGACGCGUACUCAUAAGUCCUGGCACAAUUUGUCUCCGGAUCGUGAAUCACUUAAUUUUAGAGUACAAAGGAUACUGUGUUUAAGCUCUCUCUCUCUCUCUCUUUCCUCUCUCUUCCUCUGUCUCAUUCUCUCUGAUACUCACCACCCGCUCUCGGCAGACCACUUAUGUGUGUUCCGCGUUCACAUGCUAGCUGCUUCUACCGGAACUAAUUGAACCGUUGCUCUUAAACGCCUGUAAACGUUGGUCGGAGUAGUUUCCUUGCGCAUUGUCGCGCGUGUCCCAACUUACCUUCUACAGGAAUACUAAAAUUGAUAUUCACCAUUCGAUAUAGUUUACAAGGAUAUUUUCAAGGAUAUUCGCCAUUGGAUAAAGGUGUGAGAAGGCAGGCCGACAAUUCGCGAGGUUUAACAAGAUCCUUGGAUUAGAAUGAACCCUUUUCGUCGUUCCACGAAUGGUCCAUUUAAUGCUCUCGCCUGGCGCCUUAGCAAAUUUUUAAAUGCGACAGGAGGAGGACUAUACAAGAAAAGGAGUCGAGUCGAUGGGAGAAAAAAGAGGACCUAGAGGGCCCAAAAUCUCGAUCUGUUCGGCACCCGUUACGAGGACCGACGAAGUAUAGGGAAGCUGGGGUUGGCGUCUUACAACUCUUCUUGGAGACUCUACCAAAGUGGCAUCUUCUAUAUUAACGGCAGGAAGCGGUUAACCGCUCGACUGAAUAAUCGUUCAUAGGGAAAGAAAGAAAGAAAGACAAAGAGGGAGAGAGAGAGAGAGAGAGAGAGAGAGAGAGAGAAGCAAGAGAAAUAAAUCUAACGAGGACCAUCGAAAAUGUCUAACUAAGCGUUCUUCAACUUUAUGUUCUUGAAUACAAAGCUUUUUGGCGCCACGUUAAUUGAUCGAACGACUUGGUCCUGUUCCACGCAAGGAUACAGGUCGACUUCUUUCUAAUUAUCAUUUUUUUCUUUCUCUUAUGAUGCUGUUAUCGCAAUAAAAAAAAAAAAGAGAAAAAAAGAACCAGAAAAAUAAACGAAGACGGCAAAUGAAUUCGCUCGAUUAAGUUGGAGUUAAAAAGAGGGUUGACUACCUGGUCACGAUACAAGUUUCUUCCUUUUUGGUUGCGUAUGCGAGUGGUUCUGCGUACAACCAGCUGUGUAUAAGGAUAUCUUUAGAGGUGGCUUUUAUCGCUAAAAGCCAAGUGUGAAUCGGGGCCACCGGUGCUCGAUCAAAGGCGACCGUGCCGACAUGAUACAACUAAUGUAAGAGGAAAAGAGAGAGGAAGAGUGAAAGACUAAAAAAAAAGAAAAGGAUAGUUAGAGUUAGAAAACAGAGUCAAUAAAUAAAAAGGUAAAGAAAGGGAAGUAGGAAGAAGAAUUUAAAAGAGGAAAACGUUUGAUUCAGUUUAGCCAAUCUCCUCUUUUUGUUUUAUUUUUUCUUCUACUUCGAUUAAAACGGACGACGAUUAAAAACAAGUGUUGGGUGUAAACGAUUGAUAGAUAACGCUUAUAAAGAUAUAUAAAAAGAUCUUCGCGUAAACGAUUCGUCGAAAUUCUUAUUGAGAGUUCUCGACUGGAAAAUUAUUAACCGACGAGAUGCAAGAUAGGUCGAUGCAUCGAGAAUAUCGUCUUUGCUUGUAUAUAUGUUCGUGUAUACACGUGUGCAUAUUGUUCGCUCGAAUGAAUUCAAUGAGAAAGAAAGAGAAAGAGAGAGAGAGAGAGAGAGAGAGAGAGAGAGAGAGAUGGAGAAACUACGAAGAGAGACGGGAGUCACCUAAUCGUGACCGCCUACCGACAAAUUAGAAUAUAUCGAAGUUUAACUCGACGACCACAAGAUAUCUCUUUCCCUUCACGAAAAUCAUACUAUCGCAUACAUUUACAGCGAUUAAAUUUAACUCAUGUAUUUAUGUUCGUCAUUUAUUCGUUCUUUUGCAUGAGGUAACUGCAAAGAAAAAAAAGAGAUAAUAAACGUUACAAGCAAAUAUA